CCUACGGGUGGCUGCAGUGGGGAAUAUUGGACAAUGGGGGCAACCCUGAUCCAGCCAUGCCGCGUGUGUGAAGAAGGCCCUCGGGUUGUAAAGCACUUUCAGUGAGGAAGAACGCCUAGUGGUUAAUACCCAUCAGGAAAGACAUCACUCACAGAAGAAGCACCGGCUAACUCCGUGCCAGCAGCCGCGGUAAUACGGAGGGUGCGAGCGUUAAUCGGAAUUACUGGGCGUAAAGCGCGCGUAGGUGGCUUGAUAAGCCGGUUGUGAAAGCCCCGGGCUCAACCUGGGAACGGCAUCCGGAACUGUCAAGCUCGAGUGCAGGAGAGGAAGGUAGAAUUCCCGGUGUAGCGGUGAAAUGCGUAGAGAUCGGGAGGAAUACCAGUGGCGAAGGCGGCCUUCUGGACUGACACUGACACUGAGGUGCGAAAGCGUGGGUAGCAAACAGGAUUAGAUACCCCUGUAGUC
rnacentral:rRNA from 1 species